CUGACAGCCUUGGAGACUUAAGACCUCUAUUUAUCCUUAGAACAAGUCCAGGAAAAAAUAGCACUAACGCUGGUUUCCUCAUAUGAACUUGCUCAGGUGCCUCAACCCUCUUUUGCAAGGAUUAUGUGCAAGGGCAUGAUGAUAACUUUGUAUUCCAAGUCCUUUCAGUUCCUGGCAUUC
rnacentral:sRNA from 1 species